GCAAAUGCUAAUCUGCCAUCAAUCUGUUUACGGAAUAAGGGCCGUUUUCGACCGCCGAAACCGCACACGAAGCGGCAAACAUGCAGGAUCUGUAAUUGAGAGCUUAUCUCGACUGGCAGACGAAAAAUUCUGGUAUAAAUAAUGAGCAGGAGAAACUUGAGGCUACAUUUUUCCAAACCCACGGCCCCAGAGGUAACCCAACCCGAAAACAUGGCUGCAGCUCUCCGUGUGAUGCUCUUGCUCUGCUUGGCUCUUGCACUUGUCUUGGCGCAAAAUCAGGUGGCCGAGGACGACCUGGCUCUCCACACCAAGGCUGAGAGCAUAAAACAACAGGUCGAUCUGAUUAGAAAUUUGCCGAAGCAGCAGGCGUCUGGUUUUUUGGCCGCGGUGGACCAAUUAUUAGCCAGUUUGAUAGCGGCAAUCCCUUUGCCGCCUACGACCACGACUUCUUCCACAACCACUACCACUACCACCACUCGUGCUCCCUAAAAGAGAGGAAUAACGUUUUCACUGCCGCACCUAAUUGCCCUCCGCGCGCGCGCGUGUGUGUGUAUAUAUAUUUGUAUAGAAGCUCGCUAAUUACGCUCGCGCGUUCAUUUGCAUACACCACGCUGCAUAGAGCAGAAUUCCAGCCUCGUUUUAUCAGUCGGCUAACUUCUUUGUAUCACGUUUGCAAUCUUAACUUGGAAUAAAUUUGCGCACCGAAAAGAG